rnacentral:tRNA from 1 species
GGUGGCUCAGUGGUAGAGCGUUUGCUUUGUAUGCAUGAAGCCCUGGGUUCGAUCCCUCAGCACCA